rnacentral:rRNA from 1 species
UACGUAGGGUGCAAGCGUUAAUCGGAAUUACUGGGCGUAAAGCGUGCGCAGGCGGUUUUGUAAGACCGAUGUGAAAUCCCCGGGCUUAACCUGGGAACUGCAUUGGUGACUGCAAGGCUUGAGUGUGUCAGAGGGAGGUGGAAUUCCGCGUGUAGCAGUGAAAUGCGUAGAUAUGCGGAGGAACACCGAUGGCGAAGGCAGCCUCCUGGACCGAGAUUGACGCUGAUGCGCGAAAGCCGGGGGAGCAAACGGG